AAAAAAUAAUUUGUUUUUGAUUCUGAGAAAAAAAAAUUGUUUGUUUCACCCUCAGCUGCCACUAUAUGUAAUGCUAAAAUUGAAAGAAAAAAAUUGUUUUCGACUUGUCGCGAAAAAAAUAGAUUGUUUUUCGCCGCAGGCGAAAAAAAAAGUUUGCACAGAAAAAAAAACCAUAGCCCCCCCCCAGAAAAUCAAAUGGUUGCUGCCUUAGAUAAAAA
rnacentral:lncRNA from 1 species